rnacentral:piRNA from 1 species
UUCAGUGGGUAGUGAAGGAUCAUGCUUU